AGCGAACGCUGGCGGCAGGCUUAACACAUGCAAGUCGAGCGCCCCGCAAGGGGAGCGGCCGACGGGAGAGUAACACGUGGGAACAUACCUUUUGGUUCGGAACAACUGAGGGAAACUUCAGCUAAUACCGGAUAAGCCCUUACGGGGAAAGAUUUAUCGCCGAAAGAUUGGCCCGCGUCUGAUUAGCUAGUUGGUGAGGUAACGGCUCACCAAGGCGACGAUCAGUAGAUGGUCUGAGAGGAUGAUCAGCCUCACUGGGACUGAGACACGGCCCAGACUCCUACGGGAGGCAGCAGUGGGGAAUAUUGGACAAUGGGGGCAACCCUGAUCCAGCCAUGCCGCGUGAGUGAUGAAGGCCUUAGGGUUGUAAAGCUCUUUUGCCCGGGAAGAUAAUGACGGUACCGGGAGAAUAAGCCCCGGCUAACUUCGUG
rnacentral:rRNA from 1 species